GCGGAAGUCAUCAUAAAGUAAGAUUUAUAUUUUAUAGAGUAAAAUAUAUUUUAUCUAGAGUAAAAUAUAUUUUAUCAUAAAGUUCUCUUGAUAACUGUUCUUAUCUAAAUAUUUCUUUAAUAUUAUUUGUUAUAUAUUCUAUGUAUAACAUAUCUUGGGUUCUUUGGUACAUGUAUAAAUUUUCUUGCAUUAAUUGUUUUAAAUACAACAGAAUUAUACUCAAUUAUGAUUUUAUAAUAUUCAAAUCAUAAGUGCAUCCACUAAUAACGAUCCAUUGGCAAUACCGUUGCCUUAAGGUGAUCAUACCUCCUUUUCAAAUUUAUCCACAAUUCAAGUGGAUCUUUCACUAUUAGUAUUCAAUCUUCAUGCUUUUAUUAAGAUGAUAACAAAGGAAAAUCAUAGCCUUCGCUUUAUCUUGACUUUGAUGCUUCAUUUCCUUCAAUUAUACAAUCAUCCAGACCUUUAGCGGUAAGGUGAAGUUCAGCAUCAAGUACCCAUGACAAAUAGUUUUUUCCAGAAAGUUAAAGUGCCACAAAUUCAAGCUUUGACAAAUUCGUCAUGAUGAAAACUAUCAUAAAAUAGUUGAGUCAAUAACAUGAUGUUGAUUUCUUUAUUAUAAAAGAUAAAUUUAUGCUUCAAAUGAUUAAGAAUUAGUAUAAAGUAUAUGAUAUGUAUAAACAUGGAAUGCUACAAAAUUAUAUAAACUCAUAAAGUAUGAAACGGUAGAUUUAUUAUAUGUUCUAAUUAUUUUUUAAUAUUUAUUUCUAGUUUCA
rnacentral:misc_RNA from 1 species